GACGAACGCUGGCGGCGUGCCUAAUACAUGCAAGUCGAACGCACAGUUUAUACCGUAGCUUGCUACACCAUAAACUGUGAGUUGCGAACGGGUGAGUAACGCGUAGGUAACCUGCCUGGUAGCGGGGGAUAACUAUUGGAAACGAUAGCUAAUACCGCAUAAUAUUGAUUAUUGCAUGAUAAUUGAUUGAAAGAUGCUAUUGCAUCACUACCAGAUGGACCUGCGUUGUAUUAGCUAGUAGGUGAGGUAACGGCUCACCUAGGCGACGAUACAUAGCCGACCUGAGAGGGUGAUCGGCCACACUGGGACUGAGACACGGCCCAGACUCCUACGGGAGGCAGCAGUAGGAAAUCUUCGGCAAUGGACGAAAGUCUGACCGAGCAACGCCGCGUGAGUGAAGAAGGUUUUCGGAUCGUAAAGCUCUGUUGUAAGAGAAGAACGGGUGUGAGAGUGGAAAGUUCACACUGUGACGGUAUCUUACCAGAAAGGGACGGCUAACUACGUG
rnacentral:rRNA from 1 species